UCAUUGCUUUCAGAUGCAGUUUGGAUGUUCUCUGUAUUUUUUCAGAAUUUCACAUAAUUUUUGUCCUUUAUUUUUUCCUAUUUUAAUCUGCUGUGAGGAGACUUUCUUUGGGUGACGCUUUUGAUUCAACAUUCUCUUGUCUAUUCUCUCAACAGGACCCAUACUUAAUUUUUUAAACACUAUUUAGAGGAUUUGCAAAUCCUGAUUUACCAUCUGAUUCGUUUCACAGUUAGUUCAGUGAAAUUAAAAAAAGACUCUAAAGAUCAACAUUCAACACAAAGAUGACGUUUAGAGAAAACAGAAGUAAAAGAGAGACAGAGAGGGUAAAAGUCUCGGAUCUCAGCCAUGCCCUGAUACCAACAUGAUGAAAAUUUCUCACCGGUGGUUGUUGGUCAGGUGUUUGCUCUGCGAUCCACAGACUUGCAUCUUGGGCUUGGCAGAGACUCAGAAACGUUUUCAACCAUCCUGAUGAUGAUGUUAAACUGUCCGUGGAGGAGACUGAACCAGCACCGUUCCAGAGCUCAGUGCGUCCUUUCUACAGUGAGGACAGAGCCUAGCGAACCAGGGAACCAGUCCAAAUCCUGCGCUCUGAUUGGCUGGUGAGCGGGUCCGUAUCCUAUGGUACAGACCCCAGUUACGGACCCCGGUUACGGACCUCUGGCGACUCACUCGUUCACAACAACAACAAGCAUAGUAGCAUUUUUUGUCAACAUUUAUCUUUUUUUAUAAGAUUUAUUUAUAAUACAGGAAAUACAGGAUACAGGAAAUCAUUCCUACCCACAGCAAUCAGACUUUACAACUCAUCUACCUCUGUUAGAGCCAUGAUCACACAUCUGGACUAAUUCUACCUGUCACCCUCUGCACCACAUAUAAUAUAGUAUAACGUAUACUUAGUGUUUAUUAUGGGACAAGUGACAUGGGAAUAUUAUCCGUAUUGAUAUUAUAUAUCAUAUUUUUGCAAUAUUCGCAUCCUAUUGCACAUUCUAUGUACAUAUUUAUUGUAUAUUAUUUAAGGUAUGUGUAUAUCUUGUUUAUAUCUUAUUUUUUUAUUCUCUUGACCUCAGUAUUUUAUUUUAUUUUAUUGUAUUUUUUAUUGUAUUCAAAUUUACCGGACUGCUAUGACAAUCUAAUUUCCCUUUGGGGAUGAAUAAAGUUAUCUAUCUAUC